rnacentral:rRNA from 1 species
UGGGGAAUAUUGCACAAUGGGGGAAACCCUGAUGCAGCGACGCCGCGUGCGGGAUGAAGGCCUUCGGGUUGUAAACCGCUUUCAGCAGGGGCGAAUUAAGACGGUACCUGCAGAAGAAGCGCCGGCUAACUACGUGCCAGCAGCCGCGGUAAUACGUAGGGCGCAAGCGUUGUCCGGAAUUAUUGGGCGUAAAGAGCUCGUAGGCGGCCAGUUGCGUCCGCUGUGAAAUCCCGGGGCUUAACCCCGGGCGUGCAGUGGAUACGGGCUGGCUAGAGGCAGGCAGGGGAGAACGGAAUUCCCGGUGUAGCGGUGAAAUGCGCAGAUAUCGGGAGGAACACCGGUGGCGAAGGCGGUUCUCUGGGCCUGUACUGACGCUGAGGAGCGAAAGCGUGGGGAGCGAACAGGAUUAGAUACCCGCGUAGUCC